rnacentral:rRNA from 1 species
ACUACGGAAAAGCUGUAGCUAAUACUUGCUUUAGCACUCUUGAUUCAUUUCUUGAGUGUGUACUUGUUAAGCCUUUUAAGAAAAAAGUUAUUAACUUAAGGAAUUAUAACAAAGAAGCGACACAUAAUGGAUCCGUCCAUUUUUAGUGUGUAUCAAUCGAGUUUCUGACCUAUCAGCUUUUGAUGUUAGGGUAUUGGCCUAACAUGGCUAUGACGGGUAACGGGGAAUUAGAGUUCGAUUCCGGAGAGGGAGCCUGAGAAAUAGCUACCACAUCUAAGGAAGGCAGCAGGCGCGUAAAUUACCCAAUUCUAAAGAAGAGAGGUAGUGACAAGAAAUAACAAUACAAGGCCAAUCUGGCUUUGUAAUUGGAAUGAUGGGAAUUUAAAACCUUCCCAAAACUCAAUUGGAGGGCAAGUCUGGUGCCAGCAGCCGCGGUAAUUCCAGCUCCAAUAGCGUAUAUUAAAAUUGUUGCAGUUAAAACGCUGUAGUUGAAUUUCAAAGAAUCGAUAUUUUAAGCAACGCUUCUAGCUUAAUCCACAUAACUGAUACUUCGUAUCGACUUUGUGCGCAUUUUGCUAUUAUGUGUUCUUUUAAUUAAAAUGAUUCUUUUUAAGGACUUUCUUUGCUUCGGCUUGGAAGUC